rnacentral:rRNA from 1 species
UAUCCCCUGUGUGCCUUUAAGGCGUGCGUAGCGAAGCUAACGCGCUAAGUAGACCGCCUGGGGAGUACGGCCGCAAGGUUAAAACUCAAAUGAAUUGACGGGGGCCCGCACAAGCGGUGGAGCAUGUGGUUUAAUUCGAAGCAACGCGCAGAACCUUACCAACCCUUGACAUCCUCGGACCGCCAGAGAGAUCUGGUUUUCUCGCAAGAGACCGAGUGACAGGUGCUGCAUGGCU